AGUGAAGCUUGGGCUCAGUAGCCUCAUUCCCAGAGAGGCCUCUGUCUAGGGGCCUCAGUACAGCAUCCUGAGCAGUCACGGGGAGCUGCAGGCUCCGGCCUGGCUUCCUCUAACUUGGCCAAGAGAGUUCUCCGGGUUGCCGGGAAGCGAACUCAUAGGACACCAGAUGUGUGGCCCGAAGUGUGACCCUGAAGAGCCUGUGGAAACCCCAGGGGCUUGCUCUCAUGUGAUGGGAACGUUUUCCUUGCUAUUUCUUAUUUGUAGUGACUACUGUAGUAACUUGGGGCUUUUCUAUCUCUUUAUCCUUUGUAGCCACCUUUCCUGUCUAAUGGCGUCAUUCCUCUUUUCUCCUAGAAGGGGUGCUAUAGAGAGGGUGGAUUCUAGGGCUGAACAGACCUGCAGGUGGGUAAUGGCCCUACAUCUUGCUAGCGCUGUGACCAGGCGGAGUUGCUCAAAGGGUGAAUGCUGAAGAACUGGCUCCGCUUCCUCACAGGCUCCUACAGGCCCUGAGAGCAGAUCCACAAACAGAGCAGAAGACACAAAGGAAACAAAACAGCUGAGAAAACUCGCCAUCACCGGGCUUCCCUCCAACCAGGAUUUUUAGUAUCAAGAAAUGUCCCUGUCAUCUAGAAGAAUGCUUGGCACAGAGAAAUAUUUCUGAAAUCCACUUAAUGAAUAAGCAAAGGAAUCAAGAACCAUGUAUUUGGAGCAUGGCUGAGGCUCUAUCUCCUCUGGGCACCUCCUCUGACUGCCCUCAGAACUACAUUGCUAUUCUGGGUAGACUGCACAUUCAUUUUAUCAAAACAUUUGUUUUGAGCCCCUGCUCUGUCCCAGAUUCCAGGUUGGACCCUGAGUUUACCUGAGAGGCAACUGGUGGCCUAAAUGACCUUGCAUGCAAACAUCUACCAUCCUUGCCCACCAAUCCUUUACUUCCUGUGGUCUGUCCUGAUACCUCAGUGGAGAAAACCAAAGGUCUUUCCUGGAAGGAAGGUCAAUCAAAGUUGAACUUCGACUUCUGAGGCAACAUGAUCUUAGAUGCAUAAAAGAGCUCAGUGGUUUCUGAUUUUUCCCACUAAUUCUAGAGACUUCUCUCUGUUCUGCCUGUGCGUGCUGGGACCACAUCAUCCUGGAGACCAACCAAUCACCGUCCUAACUCUUCUCUUGCCCAAGUGACUUAUCUGAUUAGUCAUGAGGUCCAAACUCCAUUACUCUCUAGUUACCAAGAGGCCUUGACUCCUGACCUUUUGCCUGCCCCAAAGCCAAUGCCAUAAGAUUGGCUUCCUGAGCAAGUCCUCUCUUGUGCUGGUCCCCAUAACUGAAGAUGGAUUGAGCCGGGAAAAGCUUAACCAUCAGCUCAAGACACACACUGAGUAUUUACCCCUGUCUUACAAGAGCAAACAAACAGGCAGAGAAGUCAAGGUUCCCUGCCCCGCCCCCACCAUUGCAUAACUGCACACAAGGAGAAAUGCAUGUCAAGUCACCUGGUGGCUUUUGGAACCACAAAUAGUGUGGAUCAACUUGUUCCGAAGGCUCAUUGGGCAACCACACUGCCCUCUUUCUUCUUUGUUGGUCCAUUGAGCCACAACUUGCCCUACCUGGCUAGGCAAGAGCCCCAGCACCACAAUUACAAAGCUCUGGAAGCAAAACUCCAAAAGUCAAACUGACCAGAUCCCACUCGUGAUUGUGACUGGACAACAUGAUCUGAGCCCCCAGUCAUGUCCGGGUCUUUCCAAACACAACCUCUCUUUCAAAAAUGCCAUCUCACCACUGAACAGAGUCAUGUAACUAGUGACAAUAAUGAAAGAAUGGAUAACAGGAAGGUGAAGAUAUUCUAUACAUCAAAGAAUGUACCAGUGUCAUUUUAGCAUUUCUGCUUACUAUUUUCAAAAACAAACAUGCUGUGUCUGUGGGUUCCAUAAAGAUUUCCAAAUCCACUGUCGGAGAAAUCCUUACACAUUCUGCAGCCAUGAAAUGAGAAAGGCAACACCAGAGCACUAAUUUUUAUUGAUCAUCUACUAUUCACAACACACUGCUGGGGAUUGAUACAUAGCAGCAUCCAGCUCAGUCUUUGGCUUGGGAACGCUGAGUGGGUCACUCUAUUAGUCCAUUUUCCAUUUGUAUAACAAGAUACUUGUGCCAGGAAUGAUAGCAGAGAAGUUUAUUUAGCUCAGAGUUUUGAGGUCUAAAGGUCUAAGGUCAGGUGCCCUAUCUGUCUGGUCUCUGCUGAGAGUCCCCUGGAUGCAGCUCAACAUACCAGAGAAGGAGGAGAGGAGCCAGCAACUUGCAGGAGGGGCCCAGUGCGUGGGGUGGCCUCACUUUAUAACAAGAGACUCUCAGCAACUCCACAAAAUCAGCAUUAAUCCCUCCAGAGGGUGGCAGUGCCAAUGACCUCAUUACCCGGCACUGGACUCUUCCUCUUAAAGGUUCCAUCACGUCAACACCAGCACACCAAGGACCAAGCCUCCAGCGGCAUAUACUUUGGGGACAAACCACAUCCAAACCGCAGCAGUCACUAAAAGCAGCUUAAGGAUGGGGAAGUGUUAUAGCCUACAUCCUAAUAGAUGAGCUCAGAUGCAGUCCAAUAUCCCACUGAAAUGAGUAUCUGAAACAGAUGCCCCGCUGCACUAGGCGUCCUAUUGUGAACACGACCCCAGAUGUUCCCGUAGAAGGGCUGAUAAUUUGGCAUGGAGAAAUAAAGGACACACGCGAAUAAUGCUGGAUCCGACAAGAUCUCGUGCAUCCAGAAUCAGUUUGAGACCAGUAACGGCAAGUGAGAGAAACCCAUCAUUACGAGGCUUAAGCAAUAUGGGACAGAUUUUUUGUCACUCAUCGAGAAAUCUGGAGAUAGACUGGAGAACUGCCGGGAGAAUCAUCAGUAGUUUCUCCUACCCUCCCCUGCCGUGGACUUUUGUCCUUGCGUUUUCAAAAAUGGCCGCAACCAUUCUGGAUAUCACAUCCAUAUUCCAAGAAGAAAAAGGAGAGAGGGAGAAGUAUUAUACAGGGCCAAAGUGUCUUCUUUUAUAGUUGCUGUCUUUUUACUGAGAAGAGAAUGCUUCAUCAGGCAUCUGCUUUCAUCUUUUCACCAGAACAAGCUCCAUGGCUACUCCUAGCCACAAGGUGACCCAGUACUUUUCACCGUACAGAUCCCAGAGGAAAGGAAAGCGAGGAAAGUGAUUUAAAGAAGUUUCACUGGACCAACAGCAUCUGCCAUUUUUAUCUCUUUAAAAACAAGUUUGUAAAUGUAAUUGUGUUUUAAGAAUAUAUUUUUAAGGAAUAAUCGUACACAUGCGUGGUAGCAACUGUCUCUGAGUGGCAAAAUUACAGUUUUCAUUUAUUUUUCUGUACCACUUGAUUCUUUUUGUUU